rnacentral:rRNA from 1 species
AUUGAACGCUGGCGGCAGGCCUAACACAUGCAAGUCGAACGGUAACAGGAAGAGGCUUGCUUCUUUGCUGACGAGUGGCGGACGGGUGAGUAAUGUCUGGGAAACUGCCUGAUGGAGGGGGAUAACUACUGGAAACGGUAGCUAAUACCGCAUAACGUCGCAAGACCAAAGAGGGGGACCUUCGGGCCUCUUGCCAUCGGAUGUGCCCAGAUGGGAUUAGCUAGUAGGUGGGGUAACGGCUCACCUAGGCGACGAUCCCUAGCUGGUCUGAGAGGAUGACCAGCCACACUGGAACUGAGGCACGGUCCAGACUCCUACGGGAGGCAGCAGUGGGGAAUAUUGCACAAUGGGCGCAAGCCUGAUGCAGCCAUGCCGCGUGUAUGAAGAAGGCCUUCGGGUUGUAAAGUACUUUCAGCGGGGAGGAAGGGAGUAAAGUUAAUACCUUUGCUCAUUGACGUUACCCGCAGAAGAAGCACCGGCUAACUCCGUG